AGUGGGAUAACUGGGUCAAAUGGUGGUUCCAUUCCAAGUUUUCUGAGGAAUCUCCAUACUGCUUUCCAGAGUGGUUGCACCAAUUUGCAAUCCCACCAGCAAU
rnacentral:pre_miRNA from 1 species